ACAAGGAGAGGAGAACCCUCGCAGCCCCUCGCUCGGGGUGAAACUCCAACAUGGCUUCCGCUUUCGCCGCUCCUCCCCCUCCCCUUACUCCGGCUCCUCCAACCUCCUCCCCUUUUCCCGACUCCCGCCCGACUGCGCAGCCGCGAUCCCGGAGGGAGCGCGCCAGGCCUGGCGCGCACCCGACCCCUUGCGCGUUCCGGCUCCGCGCGCCUGCCAGGCCGGGGCCGGCGGCGGAACAGCUUGGGACCCGAAACGCCUCGGCUUUUCUGCGGACCCGCGCCCGGCCGCUGCCGCCGGACGCUUGAAAAGAGGCAGAGUCUUGCUUUGUUGUCCAGGCUGGUCUUGAACUUCUGAGCUCAAGUGAUCCUCCCGCCUUGGCCUCCCAAAGUGCUGAGACUACAGAGAGAGAAUGCUAACGAGCUGUGAAAUGACCAAAGAUCUGGCAGCAGAAGGGAAAAGAAAAAAUAAUGGGAAGAAGAGGAUUUAUCUGACUCAACUGGAGAUGGCUCCCUUCCCUUAUUUAUUGUUGCAUCCUGAAGCUUCCCCCAUGCUGGGCUCAGUGUGAACAAACAGCGCGGGAGAAUGCAACCACUGCAGAGGCAUAUGUUUGAGAUACCUGGCCACUGGAGGUCAUCUCGUCUACUAUAUUCACCGCAGAUAAAGAAUGAAAAGAGAAUACACAACCUUGUGAUUGCUAGCAGUGAAAGCUCAGAGUUAUGACAUAACAAGUGGUUGAUCAUACUGUAAAACUCAAAUGUGAAGGGAAGGCUGGAACCUACUGGAAACUGAAGAUCUAACGAAAAGAAGGAACUUUUAGGAACUAGCAGAGACUUCAAAAUGUUGAGAACUCUCUUUUUUCAUAAGAGAAGAUAAAAACUCUGAUGGUCACACUCAUAAAGACAAAAAACAAAUAAAAAACAAACAAAAACUCAGAAUCACAAGAGCAAAGAAAAUGUAGGUAAAACAAUAACAGAAGAGGUAAAGAAAUUUAUGUGAAUUGGGACACUCUGGGGCACAGAACAGAAGAGGAGAAGAAACAUGAAAGUAAUGCUCUGCACAAGGAUGUCUGACUGUCCUUGAUUCCAAGGGCAUUUAAAAUUAGCCACUGGAUGAGAACCAUGAAAUGCCAUGACUCUUACAGCUCCCAUGAAAGACAUUGGAUGGAACUUAUCCUAACUGGACCAAAUUCUAAAAAAUUUUACAUGAUAUUAUAAUGAGUUGAAAGUUGAAAAAAAAAAGCUCUUCUAGAUUACCAAGAAUAAAACACAAAUUUCUAGCUGACUGAAUUAAUUCUCAUCUCUCUAUAGAAAGAUCAUAGAAAUUUUUUUUAUCAUGCAAAGAAAUAGCUAAAAAUUUACAAAAAUAUAGACGUGCAUUAGGCAGCUCAUGAAUAAAUGCGUUUUUUCCUUUUUUCCUCCAGAAUUUUGUGAUGUUUAUGGUACUUUUCGGCUUUUAAAAUUUUGUAUUUAAUCAGGAUUUAUUACUUCAUUGUAAGUAAAUAUUAAAUUUGUACUCCAUCUUUGUUUGUAAUUUUGUAUAUUUUUCAGUAAAAAGGACUCCCCAGAUUAUGUAAGCUUUAGGCCCCACAAAAUCUAGGCCUGUUGCUGUAUCCUUUCUAGAGCAGUGUUUCUCAAACUUCAAUGUGCAUUUGAAUCUCCUGGGGCUCCUGUUAAAAUAUAGCUUCUGAGAUGAUGCAUUUCUAACAGACUCCCAGGGCUGACACUGCCCAUCUGGGGACCACACUUUGAGAAUCAAAUAUCUAGAACAAUGGUUCUUACCUGGCUGUGCAUUGGGAUCAUUUAUAGUGCUUUUGGAAAAUACAUUGUGUCCAGGUCCCACCCAGUUCUCAGUAGGCUUGGAAUGGGGUCCUACACUUUUUUUUUUUAACUCCACAGUUUGGGAAAGAAGCCUUUUCAUAUAUUGUUGGUGGGAAUACAAAUUGAUACAGCCAUUUUUGAGCUUGAUUUGGCAAUAUCUUCCUUGGAGAAAUCAAAAGCCAGUUGGCAAGCCAGUCUGGAAAAGGCAGUUUACUGAUUCCCACCCGAGGGUCACAAAGCAGGUAUAGAAGGAUGGGCUUUGGCUGAAAUAUAUGAUGGGUACAGGUAUAUUCUCUAUAAUCCAGUAUUUCCACUGCUGAAAACGUAUCCUAGUAACAUUAUACAUAUCAAGCCUACAUAUAAAGUUGGUCAAUUCCAUAUUAUUUGUAGUAGGGGAAAACUGAAAGCAGUCUACAUGCCCAUCAAUAGAUUAUUCAAAUUAUGGAACAGUUUUCCAAUGACAAAACAAUAGCUAAUCUUAGUUAAGCAAUUAUUAUGUUAUGUAAGGUAGACAUUGUUCUACCUUAUUUAUAAGUAUUAAGUUAGUUUUUAUAACUAUCAUAUUUCCAUUUUACAAAUGACAUAAUUUAUAUUAUUGACAUGGGAAGAUGUCCAAGGAUAUAAUAAGCAAAAAGCAAGUAGCAAAACAUUAUGUAUAUUAUGCAUUACCAUUAUAAUAUACUAAAAAGUAAUGCACUUGAUUCUGAUGCACACUCCCCAGUAGGUAACAACUUAUCUAGUGUAAAAAUGAAAGAACAUUCUGGGCCGGGCACGGUGGCUCAUGCCUGUAAUCCCAGCACUUUGGGAGGCCCAGGUGGGCGGAUCACAAGGUCAGGAGAUCGAGACCAUCCUGGCUAACAUGGUGAAACCCCGUCUCUACUAAAAAUACAAAAAAAAAAUUAGCUGGGCGUGGUGGCCGGCGCCUGUAGUCGCAGCUACUCGGGAGGCUGAGGCAGGAGAAUGGCGUGAACCCGGGAGGCGGAGCUUUCAGUGAGCGGAGAUAGCGCCAUUGCACUCCAGCCUGGGCGACAGAGCGAGACUCUGCCUCAACAACAACAACAACAACAACAAAAAAAAAAAAAAAAAAAAAAAAAGAACAUUCUGUUACCUCAAACACGCUGUUUUCAUGCAAUUUAGUUAACUGGUAGCACUUUCAGAAGAAGACAAAGUAAAAAUGGUUAGGUCAAUUUGGUGGCAUAGAGUAUUCUAUCGAUCAGUGGUCAAAAGAGUAGUCAUUCUGAGUGAUCUCUAACAUUAGGGUUGAUGGAAGAGAUGACCCAUAGAUGUCCCUACAUCUCAUUUCUCUUAGGACACACACUUGGGAGAAAUCGUCCAGUGCACUUUGUCCAGGCCUUUUACUUGUACCAACUACUUUGCUUUAUGCUGUUUUCACUUUAGUGGUUCUGCCUUCUAGUCCACAGAAAAGUUUUUUCUUAACGUAUUUUUUUCCCAACACUUUAUUAUGGGAAUUUUCAAACAUACAGAAAAGAUAAAAGAAAUUUACAGAGAAUACUCGUGUCUCUAUCAGCUAGAUUCUACAGUUAACAUUUUACUAUAGUAGUUUUAUUGCAUAUCUGUUUAUCUCCCUGUGCAUCCAUGGAUCCAAUUCAUCUUUAGGAUGCAUUUCAAAGCAAGUUGCUGACGUCAGUACACUUCCCUCUCAAUACUUUAGUAUGUGGAUCAAUAACCCUAGCUUAAGAUUUGUUGAUUGUUUUUCUUUCCUUUUGAAGUAAAAUUUACACACAAGGAAAUGCACACAUCUUAAGUGGACCAUUUGAUGAGUUUUGAGUAAUGCCCACAUUGUGUAACUCAAACGUCUAUCAAGAAAGAACAUUACCAUACCUGAGAGUAUCCUCAUGCUCCUCCCCUGGGGUACUCCCUGCCUCUCCACACCAAUCCCCCCAGGUAACAACUGUUCUGAUAUCCCCCUCACCAUAUAUACCUGCUCUAGAACAUCAUAUAAAUGGAAUGAUACAAUAUGUCUUUUGUAUAAGCUUUAUUCCACUCAGCAUAAUGUUUUUGCCAUUCACCCAUAUUAUUGAUCAUAUUAGUACCUUGCUCCUUCUUAUUACUGAGUAGUAUUAGAUAGUAUAAACAUAGCGUAGUCUAUUUUCCUAUUUUGAUGGAUAUGUGGGCUUGUUCUGAUUUUUGCUUAUUAUGAAUAAAACUUCUG
rnacentral:lncRNA from 1 species